UACGUAGGUGGCAAGCGUUGUCCGGAUUUACUGGGCGUAAAGAGCGCGCAGGCGGUCGUUCAAGUCGCGUGUGAAAGCCCCCGGCUCAACUGGGGAGGGUCACGCGAUACUGAUCGACUCGAAGGCAGGAGAGGGUAGUGGAAUUCCCGGUGUAGUGGUGAAAUUCGUAGAUAUCAGGAGGAACACCAGUGGCGAAGGCGGCUUUCUGGACGGUAACUGACGCUGAGACGCGAAAGCGUGGGGAGCAAACAGGG
rnacentral:rRNA from 1 species